CAGAGUGAGCCGCUAGCUUUCC
rnacentral:miRNA from 1 species